GAACUGGAGGAGGCCUGCAGGCGGAAUGGAAGGAGGGCCCGAUGUGAGCCAAUCGAGGUCGGCUGCAGGGGAUUCCCAGGACAGAGCCUGCACCGGACACUCAGGCUUCUUGGGAUUAGAGGAGCUCAAGAAAGGAAAG